AGCAUAACAUCUUGACUCGGCUAUAAUUAUAUCCGUUUGGAGCCUACGCAAAAUUAGCCUGAAUUGCGUGCUAUAAAGAGGGAAAAUAAAGCUGGAAAUUUUCAGUCUUGUUCUGUGUGCGGCUGCUAAAGCUCUGAGCCCAGCGACGAGGCUCUUGCAGGGACCUAAAGCGUUCAGCCAGCGUAGUGACCACUGGAUAUUUAACACUGACACAUAUAUGAAUAUACGCCUGAUCUGCAUACUCAUUUAUCUUACAAAAGUAAUGGAAGAGGUGGUCUUGACCCCAGC